rnacentral:rRNA from 1 species
AGUGAACGCUGGCGGCGUGCCUAAUACAUGCAAGUCGGACGAGUGACUCACGGUUGAGUAAUGUAUAGCUAAUCUUCCCUACCCUAGAGGACAACAGGUGGUAACUACUGCUAAUACUCUAUAGUGUAUGAUGAGGCUAUAUUGUAUCAGCUAGUUGGUGAGGUAAUGGCGCACCAAGGCGAUGACGCAUACCUGGUCUGAGAGGAUGAUCAGUCACACUGGAACGGAGACACGGUCCAGACUCCUACGGGAGGCAGCAGUAGGGAAUAUUGCUAAAUGGGGGAAACCCUGAAGCAGCAAAGCCGCGUGGAGGAUGACACUUUUCGGAGCGUAAACUCCUUUUGUUAGGGAAGCGGUACCUAACGAAUAAGCACCGGCUAACUCCGUGCCAGCAGCCGCGGUAAUUC